AGAGUUUGAUCCUGGCUCAGGAUGAACGCUGGCGGUAUGCUUAACACAUGCAAGUCGAACGGAAUCCUUAGGGAUUUAGUGGCGGACGGGUGAGUAACGCGUGAGAAUCUGCCUUAAGGAUUGGGACAACAGUGGGAAACCGCUGCUAAUACCAAAUAUGCCUUUUAGUGAAACGGGUAAAACCGCCUUAAGAUGAGCUCGCGUCUGAUUAGCUAGUUGGUGUGGUAAGAGCGCACCAAGGCAACGAUCAGUAGCUGGUCUGAGAGGACGACCAGCCACACUGGGACUGAGACACGGCCCAGACUCCUACGGGAGGCAGCAGUGAGGAAUUUUCCGCAAUGGGCGAAAGCCUGACGGAGCAAUACCGCGUGAGGGAGGAAGGUUCUUGGAUUGUAAACCUCUUUUCUCAGAGAAGAAUAAUGACGGUAUCUGAGGAAUAAGCAUCGGCUAACUCCGCGCCAGCAGCCGCGGUAAUACGGAGGAUGCAAGCGUUAUCCGGAAUGAUUGGGCGUAAAGGGUCUGUAGGUGGUUGUUCAAGUCUGCUGUUAAAGCGUCUGGCUUAACCAGAUAAAGGCGGUGGAAACUGAACGACUAGAGUGCGGUAGGGGUAGAGGGAAUUCCCAGUGUAGCGGUGAAAUGCGUAGAUCUUGGGAAGAACACCUGUGGCGAAAGCGCUCUACUGGACCGCGACUGACACUGAUGGACGAAAGCUAGGGGAGCGAAUGGGAUUAGAUACCCCCGUAGUCC
rnacentral:rRNA from 1 species